GAGCGGACAGAUGGGAGCUUGCUCCCUGAUGUUAGCGGCGGACGGGUGAGUAACACGUGGGUAACCUGCCUGUAAGACUGGGAUAACUCCGGGAAACCGGGGCUAAUACCGGAUGGUUGUUUGAACCGCAUGGUUCAGACAUAAAAGGUGGCUUCGGCUACCACUUACAGAUGGACCCGCGGCGCAUUAGCUAGUUGGUGAGGUAACGGCUCACCAAGGCGACGAUGCGUAGCCGACCUGAGAGGGUGAUCGGCCACACUGGGACUGAGACACGGCCCAGACUCCUACGGGAGGCAGCAGUAGGGAAUCUUCCGCAAUGGACGAAAGUCUGACGGAGCAACGCCGCGUGAGUGAUGAAGGUUUUCGGAUCGUAAAGCUCUGUUGUUAGGGAAGAACAAGUGCCGUUCAAAUAGGGCGGCACCUUGACGGUACCUAACCAGAAAGCCACGGCUAACUACGUGCCAGCAGCCGCGGUAAUACGUAGGUGGCAAGCGUUGUCCGGAAUUAUUGGGCGUAAAGGGCUCGCAGGCGGUUUCUUAAGUCUGAUGUGAAAGCCCCCGGCUCAACCGGGGAGGGUCAUUGGAAACUGGGGAACUUGAGUGCAGAAGAGGAGAGUGGAAUUCCACGUGUAGCGGUGAAAUGCGUAGAGAUGUGGAGGAACACCAGUGGCGAAGGCGACUCUCUGGUCUGUAACUGACGCUGAGGAGCGAAAGCGUGGGGAGCGAACAGGAUUAGAUACCCUGGUAGUCCACGCCGUAAACGAUGAGUGCUAAGUGUUAGGGGUUUCCGCCCCUUAGUGC
rnacentral:rRNA from 1 species